rnacentral:lncRNA from 1 species
CUUUGUAACAAUUACAGAUAAAUUAUAUAUAAAUUUCAAAACCUGAAACUUCAUCUAGAAAAAAUAGUUAUAUUCAACAUACUUAUUAUUGUUAUAAAUGUUGUUCUAAUACUAAUUUUGGCAUUAUGUGUAAAUUAUAUUGAAAUUUAUUAUAAAUGAUUUAAAACAAAAAUGUCCUUGGACGGAUUCAUAAAAUCAUACUCAUAUAUUGAGAAGAAAAACCUUCUUAUGUUCCUUGGGAGGACAACACAGUAAUAAUCAAACUUUACAAUAUCAUAAAAAAUUAGACUAAAAUUAUGUAUCAAAAUUUCUUCUGAAAGAUUGAAAAUAAGGUUAUGGGAAUUCUAAUUACAAAUAAUACAUCACAAUUUUCAUUCCAAAAAAGUACAAAUGCAUUAUUUUGACUGUUUGACUAGAAAAAGAAAAUGCUGUAUGUAUAAAUAUGAACAUGUCAAAAGAACAAAAGGUGCAUUUUUUCAAAUAAAAAAGUCAUAUUUUUCAUAAUCAGCUAAUUUAAAAGCUUUAAAGAGAACAUUACUAUUGAUUAUAAAAUCAUGAUAUGGUUCCCUAGAACUUUGACUCUCUUUUUUAACUAAGAUUUAAUCUAAGAAAUGCACAUUACAAUUCCUUCAUAUUUGGUCUUGUGGGCUUAUCUUGACACAAAAAUAAGUUCAUGAUUAUUUAGAGUUAUUCCCCUUCCCCUAAUCUAAAUUGCACAUGAUAAGUCAAUAAUAAUUUAUGCAGUACAAAUAAACUACCUCUGUGACUAAAUAGAAUGUUAUCAAUAAAUUACAUAACAGUCAAUAAAUAGAACUAAAAAAUUCAAUCAGGACAUUUAACUUUGGUAUUGACUGAAAAUCCUUAAAAUAAAUUAUAAAGUUUGAUAUAAGAUAAAAUAAUUUUUACACUUUCUUAUCACGACUUUCAUACAUAUAAUCAAAGUAGAUUAAAGGCUAUCAGAUUAAUUAAAUGUCCAUUCUUAUAAAGGUAAAAGUAAACUAUUAUAAACACUGGGUGCUUAGCAGCUACAAACAAACUUCUGGUAUCAUCCAGCAAGGGUCUCAACUACUGGGGUCAUCAAAGUAUGAAUGAUUCAAAAAUGUGAUUUUACUAACAUCACUACAUAUUUUGCCUUAGUACAAAUUCUAUAUUAGUGGAAAAUAUUUUUUUAGACCUUAAGUCUGAUGAAAAUUUCUAGUCAGGGUCUUAAAGGUACAUACAUUAUACAAAAGUUCUUUAUUAGUGGAAAAUAUUUUUUUAGACCUUAAGUCUAAUGAGAAUUUCUAGUCAGGGCCUUAAGGGUACAUACAUUAUACAAAAGUUCUUGUACGAAUCCCCCUUUUUCACCAUAUCCAUAUUUUACUUAAAAUGUAUAGUUCCAUUUCCUCACUGAUGAAAUUGACCCUAUCACAAUUAACUUAUUAUAAUAGGCUUAGAUCCUGGAGUCAAAUAAUCUAUUCUUUUCUGGACAUUUAUAAUUGAAUGUAUUUAAAAUAUAUGUUCUUUACUUAGUAAAGUUUAUCAAGAGUAGCUGAUAUAUAAGGGAAAUAUUCAUACUAAGAGAAAACUGCUUUCUAAAUCAUAUUCUAGUAUAGACCCUCAUAUUCAAUUAAAUUGGUUAGUAAAUGAAUAUUAGAAUUAAUAUGUAUAAACAUGUAAAGUCAAGAUUUUUUUUUUACAAAUUAGGGGUAAUUUACAUAUCUAUACAUAAAUUAGUUUGGUUUAUCAGUUUGAUUGCACUUAAAAGAAAUCUACAUUCUUCUAUAAAAAUAAAUAAAAAUAAUUUA